rnacentral:rRNA from 1 species
GCUUACGGCCACACCGGCCUGAGUACGCCUGAAUCUCGUCUGAUCUCGGAAGCUAAGCAAGGGUCGGGCCUGGUUAGUACUUGGAUGGGAGACCGCCUAGGAAAUACCAGGUGCUGUAAGCU